UUUUUGGAGACAUUUAAGACAUUUAUAAUGUCUCUUGUUGGGCUGAAAUGAUUAAUCGUGAUUAAUCAAUAACUGAAGUAAUAGUAAACUAAUAAUUUAG